rnacentral:rRNA from 1 species
UGGGGAAUAUUGGACAAUGGGCGAAAGCCUGAUCCAGCCAUGCCGCGUGUGUGAAGAAGGUCUUCGGAUUGUAAAGCACUUUAAGUUGGGAGGAAGGGCAGUAAGCGAAUACCUUGCUGUUUUGACGUUACCGACAGAAUAAGCACCGGCUAACUCUGUGCCAGCAGCCGCGGUAAUACAGAGGGUGCAAGCGUUAAUCGGAAUUACUGGGCGUAAAGCGCGCGUAGGUGGUUCGUUAAGUUGAAUGUGAAAGCCCCGGGCUCAACCUGGGAACGGCAUCCAAAACAGGCGAGCUAGAGUAGGGCAGGGGGUGGUGGGAUUUCCUGUGUAGCGGUGAAAUGCGUAGAUAUAGGAAGGAACACCAGUGGCGAAGGCGACCACCUGGGCUCAUACUGACACUGAGGUGCGAAAGCGUGGGGAGCAAACAGG